rnacentral:rRNA from 1 species
AUUGAACGCUGGCGGCAGGCCUAACACAUGCAAGUCGAGCGGAUGAAGGGAGCUUGCUCCUGGAUUCAGCGGCGGGCGGGUGAGUAAUGCCUAGGAAUCUGCCUGGUAGUGGGGGAUAACGUCCGGAAACGGGCGCUAAUACCGCAUACGUCCUGAGAGAGAAAGUGGGGGAUCUUCGGACCUCACGCUAUCAGAUGAGCCUAGGUCGGAUUAGCUAGUUGGUGGGGUAAAGGCCUACCAAGGCGACGAUCCGUAACUGGUCUGAGAGGAUGAUCAGUCACACUGGAACUGAGACACGGUCCAGACUCCUACGGGAGGCAGCAGUGGGGAAUAUUGGACAAUGGGCGAAAGCCUGAUCCAGCCAUGCCGCGUGUGUGAAGAAGGUCUUCGGAUUGUAAAGCACUUUAAGUUGGGAGGAAGGGCAGUAAGUUAAUACCUUGCUGUUUUGACGUUACCAACAGAAUAAGCACCGGCUAACUUCGUG